UACGUAGGGUGCAAGCGUUAAUCGGAAUUACUGGGCGUAAAGCGUGCGCAGGCGGUUUUGUAAGUCUGUCGUGAAAGCCCCGGGCUCGACCUGGGAAUUGCGAUGGAGACUGCAAGGCUUGAAUCUGGCAGAGGGGGGUAGAAUUCCACGUGUAGCAGUGAAAUGCGUAGAGAUGUGGAGGAACACCGAUGGCGAAGGCAGCCCCCUGGGUCAAGAUUGACGCUCAUGCACGAAAGCGUGGGGAGCAAACAGG
rnacentral:rRNA from 1 species